CUCGUAGGUGGUUGAUCGCGUCGGAAGUGUAAUCUUGGGGCUUAACCCUGAGCGUGCUUUCGAUACGGGUUGACUUGAGGAAGGUAGGGGAGAAUGGAAUUCCUGGUGGAGCGGUGGAAUGCGCAGAUAUCAGGAGGAACACCAGUGGCGAAGGCGGUUCUCUGGGCCUUUCCUGACGCUGAGGAGCGAAAGCGUGGGGAGCGAACA
rnacentral:rRNA from 1 species